rnacentral:rRNA from 1 species
GAUGAACGCUGGCGGCGUGCCUAAUACAUGCAAGUCGAGCGAACGGACGAGAAGCUUGCUUCUCUGAUGUUAGCGGCGGACGGGUGAGUAACACGUGGAUAACCUACCUAUAAGACUGGGAUAACUUCGGGAAACCGGAGCUAAUACCGGAUAAUAUUUUGAACCGCAUGGUUCAAAAGUGAAAGACGGUCUUGCUGUCACUUAUAGAUGGAUCCGCGCUGCAUUAGCUAGUUGGUAAGGUAACGGCUUACCAAGGCAACGAUGCAUAGCCGACCUGAGAGGUUGUUCGCCCCCCCUGAAACUAGGCCCCGGUCCAACCUCCUCCGGGAGGCAGCAGUAGGGAAUCUUCCGCAAUGGCCGAAAGCCUGACGGAGCAACGCCGCGUGAGUGAUGAAGGUCUUCGGAUCGUAAACCUCUGUUAUUAGGGAAAAACAUAUGUGUAAGUAACUGUGCACAUCCUAACGGUCCCUAAUAAGAAAGCCACGGCUAACUACUU